GACGAACGCUGGCGGCGUGCUUAACACAUGCAAGUCGAGCGAGGCCCUCCUUCGGGAGGUGUCCUAGCGGCGAACGGGUGAGUAACACGUGGGCAACCUGCCCUCAGCUCUGGGAUAACCCCAAGAAAUUGGGGCUAAUACCGGAUACGACCGCUGACCGCAUGGUCUGGUGGUGGAAAGAUUUAUCGGCUGAGGAUGGGCCCGCGGCCUAUCAGCUUGUUGGUGGGGUAGUGGCCUACCAAGGCGACGACGGGUAGCCGGCCUGAGAGGGUGACCGGCCACACUGGGACUGGGACACGGCCCAGACUCCUACGGGAGGCAGCAGUGGGGAAUAUUGCGCAAUGGGCGGAAGCCUGACGCAGCGACGCCGCGUGGGGGAUGACGGCCUUCGGGUUGUAAACCUCUUUCAGCAGGGACGAAGCGAAAGUGACGGUACCUGCAGAAGAAGCACCGGCCAACUACGUGCCAGCCGCCGCCGUAACAC
rnacentral:rRNA from 1 species